rnacentral:rRNA from 1 species
UACGAAGGGGGCGAGCGUUGUUCGGAAUCACUGGGCGUAAAGGGCGCGUAGGCGGCCCUCCUUGUCGCGUGUGAAAGCCCCGGGCUCAACCUGGGAACGGCGCGCGAGACGGGGGGGCUGGAGUUCGGGAGAGGAGCGUGGAAUUCCUGGUGUAGCGGUGAAAUGCGCAGAUAUCAGGAGGAACACCGGUGGCGAAGGCGGGUCUCUGGGCCGAUACUGACGCUGAGGAGCGAAAGCGUGGGGAGCGAACAGG